CCUAUCUUCUCUGUAUAUUUCACGCUAACAGUGUCUUAGAUUUGCAAUGUCUUGGCUUAUACCUCUAAGUCCUGAGACAUCCAAUAUUUUUAUGCUCCACCUACGAUAGUAGAGGGGCAUUAUGUUUUCUGGUCUGUGGCUCCGUUCGUUCGUUCGUUCGUUCAUCCCGCUUCAGGUUAAAGUUUUUGGUCAAGGUAGUUUUUGAUGAAAUUGAAGUCCAAUCAACUUGAAACUUAGUACACAUGUUCCCUAUAGUAUAAUCUUUCUAAUUUUAAUGCCAAAUUAGAUAUUUACCCAAUUUCAAAGUCCAUAAAACAUGGAAAAUGAUAGUGCGAGUGGGGCAUCCGUGUACUUUGGACACAUUCUUGUUCUUAUCUAGAGCUCUGUAAAAAAGAAAAUGUAGAAGAAAAAAAAUAACAAAAAAAUAAUAUGAAAAAGAAAUUGUAAAAAUAGUUCUAGAUAAUAAACAUU
rnacentral:lncRNA from 1 species